CUGUGAAGAUGCAGUGUACCCGCGGCAAGACGGAAAGACCCCGUGAACCUUUACUAUAGCUUGACACUGAACAUUGAGCCUUGAUGUGUAGGAUAGGUGGGAGGCUUUGAAGUGUGGACGCCAGUCUGCAUGGAGCCGACCUUGAAAUACCACCCUUUAAUGUUUGAUGUUCUAACGUUGACCCGUAAUCCGGGUUGCGGACAGUGUCUGGUGGGUAGUUUGACUGGGGCGGUCUCCUCCUAAAGAGUAACGGAGGAGCACGAAGGUUGGCUAAUCCUGGUCGGACAUCAGGAGGUUAGUGCAAUGGCAUAAGCCAGCUUGACUGCGAGCGUGACGGCGCGAGCAGGUGCGAAAGCAGGUCAUAGUGAUCCGGUGGUUCUGAAUGGAAGGGCCAUCGCUCAACGGAUAAAAGGUACUCCGGGGAUAACAGGCUGAUACCGCCCAAGAGUUCAUAUCGACGGCGGUGUUUGGCACCUCGAUGUCGGCUCAUCACAUCCUGGGGCUGAAGUAGGUCCCAAGGGUAUGGCUGUUCGCCAUUUAAAGUGGUACGCGAGCUGGGUUUAGAACGUCGUGAGACAGUUCGGUCCCUAUCUGCCGUGGGCGCUGGAGAACUGAGGGGGGCUGCUCCUAGUACGAGAGGACCGGAGUGGACGCAUCACUGGUGUUCGGGUUGUCAUGCCAAUGGCACUGCCCGGUAGCUAAAUGCGGAAGAGAUAAGUGCUGAAAGCAUCUAAGCACGAAACUUGCCCCGAGAUGAGUUCUCCCUGACUCCUUGAGAGUCCUGAAGGAACGUUGAAGACGACGACGUUGAUAGGCCGGGUGUGUAAGCGCAGCGAUGCGUUGAGCUAACCGGUACUAAUGAACCGUGAGG
rnacentral:rRNA from 1 species